UGCUGCACGGCCCAUGUUUGCAGGGAAAACCAACCGGGUUCGUCACAGAGAGCGUCAAGCGUGACUCGCCGCAGGGAAGCAGCUAGGCAGGGAACAACCUGGAGAGGACAGUGACUGGGUGCACUGCUAUUUUUGCUGCUCUACCUUCAUAUUUCUUUUCUUUUUUCUCUUCUUUGGCUCAGGAGAUGAUCUAACAUGUGGCUCACAGCUGACUCUCGUAGGGGCUCAGAUAAACGAGGAGAAGACAAAUACCACCUGGGCACGUUUACACCAUUCUGUGUGGAUAGCGGAUGGAGCCAGACAGACUUUCCUCCGCCCUCUUUAUUUAUAGAAGGCCUCACGCACUUUCCAACAGGAGGAGAGAGGGUGGGAAGGGCACUGGGAUGCUGUGUUCAGGGGGAGGAAACGGUACGUAUGGGCAAAGGGGUUCUGGUAAACCGCUGAGGAUGGGCAUGGUCACUGGAGCCUGCCACCUCUCUCUUCCAAAAGCCCUUGGUGGGUGCGGCCCCAUCAAGUGAUAAUAACAGGAAACACAACAUCUACACGGAGCCAGGCACUCUUCUAAGUGCAGAACGUAGCAAUCUUUUGAGGUAGGUGUGCUAUUAUUCCCGUUUUACAGAUAAGGAAAGCGAGUCACAGGGAGAUUAAGGAACCUGCCCAGAUUGAUCCAGGUGUAAGUGGCAGAACCGGGACUACAGACCCAGGCAGUCUGGCUCCAGAGCCUGUUAGUAACCACCCUUCUCCAUUGAUUUUCAAAGGCCAUCUGGCUCAGGCUCUUCCUAACUUACUCACUCCUGAACCACCUUCAGGAUCUUUGCAAAACCCGUGUCCCACCUUUAAUGUUAUUGACUUGACGUUUUUCUUCUCAUAAUUCACGGGUUUAGUUAAAUACAUGUGUCUUGAAUGAAAUCUUGGUAUUCCUCUGAGAGAUGAAAAAUCAGCAUCAUUUGCCAUACAAAAGAGAAAGGAAAUGUCAAAAUAAAUUCAGUGAAAACAAUGUUACUAAAUUUUAGCCAGGUACUGCUGCCCCCAAGUCCAGAGCCCCCAGGGCCCAAGUUGAGGACUGAAAAGAGCAGAGGAAGGGGAAUCACACUCACGGGACCUGCCCCAGGGAUACGCCGUGUUCCCUCCAGGGCACUGAAGCCGCCUUGCUUGCCCCCUGCACUUGGAGAAAGCGGGUUCAGGACAAUGCUCCUUCUCACCCCCGAGGAGGAGAUGGAAGCUCAGGGAAGGGAACGGCUAUGCCCGAGACCAGCACCCGGGACCCCGGACUCCUGAGCGUGUGGCCCUCUACACUCAUCUCUAGGCACAUUUUCACACACCUCGCAUCUACCAAGUUAAUUCCUGAGUUAAUUCGUGUAGUUUACAUGUAGACGGUGGCUCUGCCACCAAAAUUUGUCCUCCAGUUCUCGUGUUUCUGAAGUAAUUCCAAACCUUGACUGACUUGGCUAUUCUGGAGGGAGCCCCGGGUCACAUGGGAAUUUGGAAUCAGGACCUCUAGAUCCAGGGGGUCUGCUGCCACUGUGGUGGGAGUCAUUUAACUUCCUUCCAUCCGCCAACCCAUCUAUACGUUGAGGCUAACAGCACUUUCUCUAUGGACCUCGGAGGGUUGUGGUUAGGUUGCAAGCGAGGUCACGAAUUGGGAGAUGCUCUGGGGGCAAACACGGCCCUGAACGUGCACGCUAGUGGUCACCCCCAGCCCUCACUCAUCUGGCAUCUGCAAACGAUGAGAACCAUGAAGAAGGGGACGGGCAUUUGAACGGACAAAAGAGAUACCACAGUUGACUCAUGAAUCUGUAGGACAUCUACCAAUCCUGCUGCCCAAUGUGCCAGGUGCUGGCUGGGUAUGAAAGAAUUGGGACAGGCUACCACGUGGCCUGGACGUGAAGAGAUUCAGCGUAAAAGGCAAGUAACACACAGUGUAUGAAAGAGUUGGGAUCCCUCGUGGUCCAAACCCUCAGCCUUCUUUAGGCCCACGACCAGCAGGUUGGGUCAUCUGUUUUCCCAAAUGACACAACUUCAGAGCUAACAGAUGACAAGGCAGCAGGGCUAUUUCCGGGGGCGAAACUGCCUUGCUGAAGAAGAGGGGCUGACUUGGAGGAAAAAGGUAAGAAAAUGAAGCAUUUGUGCAUCAAAGUCUGCGGUUGCUUGGUGGAGGAGCGCAAACCCUACAAACUUCACAGACCGUGAGAUUUGUUGUUUUGUAGGAUAUAGUAAUGCAUAGCCAGUAUUCAUAAGAACCUCCUGAAUCAAGGGCUUUGCAUUUUCUUAUCCCCUCUGCCUGGAAUGCCCUUCCCCAGACCUCUGCUGGCCUGACUCCUCACCUGCUUCAGGUCUCCGCUCCAAUGUCCCCAACCUCAGCGAGGCCCACUCUGACCACCCUGUUCUCAAUUACGUCCCAUCCCAGCUUCUGGGACUUUCCUCUAUUUGUUUCUGUAGUACUUACCACCUUUGGACAUAAUAUUUGUCAUCUCUCAUCUAUCUAUCUCUCAUCUAUCUAUAUCUAUCUACCUAUCUAUCACCUAUCUGCCAUCUGUCUUUCAUUGAUUAUGUCUUUUGUGUGACUCCACCUCUGGAAUAUAACUUGCAUGGGUGCAAGUUUUUUUUUCAGAGCUUGUGGCCUGAGCAGUAAGUAGACACCUAAUACAUGUCGUCGGUAGACCUCCAAGUCUGAGUUAUCAAGGAAAGGUCAAAUUGUAGUUCAUAUAUUUUGAAAAUAGGGCUCUUGUUAUGUGCUUUCACCCUCGUCACCUGCUACAUUAUAAAGGUGUCUGAGGGUGCAUCACUUCCGGUCCUGACCCACUGGUCCUCACAGCCCGCAGCAAGCCCGGGUGGGCACACAGGAACCACAGUCCUUCUCUACCCAGCCUCCUCUCGCGGACUUCCCCUGAGGACUUCCCAUGGAAGAGCUUCGACAGAGAAACAGGUUUUCUUUAUUUUUAUUUUUUUGCCAUCUGCCCAAUUUUCUUCCAAAUUUCCAUAUUUCUUCCUAUUCUUUAGAAGUCAUUUAGAAGAUAUGUAAGCAGGAUCCCAAUGGUAUGACUGACAUCAAGAGCAAAGACAAUAAAUACAGUUCUCCUGACUUCCUGCAAUCUUCAUGGAAAUGAGAAUGGAAUUGAACGUGUGUAGAACUGCCAGCUUUAUUGCAACCCCAGCGAAAUGAAGUCUGUGUCUCUCUUGCAACUCAAAGAUCAAUCUCUCAGGUGGAAGAUAAUUACAGAUCGUGAUUUAAAAUGCACCAGCUGGGUCUCCUGGAGGCCGAGAACCUCAUCAGCAAGGGCUGGAGGACUGCUGUGCCCUUCCAGCCCUCUUUGCCCUGAUGGCAAAUCAAGAAAUUCACCCGUGAGGCACCUGAUCAGAAUAUCCUUCUAGAAGCUUGGCUCUACCAGUUGUGGGAGAUUGGCACUGUGGACAGUCACCAGUCCCUUCCUCAAGAGCAUUCUGAAGGUGGGACAUCAAGAAGGGAAAUGCUUUACCCCAGGUCUCACUGUAUUUACUUAGCAGUGGAGCCUGGAUUCAAAUCAAGAUCCUGUUCUUUCCAAUCCCAAGCUCUUUCCACUUAAUAUUGUAUUUCUGUUAAUAUCAUUUAAACCAGCUCAAGUUGGGUAGGUCGAAGAAUAAUGGGCUGAUGGCUGAAGAUGAACUCUCUGUCCUCUGCAUCCAGUACCAACCUCUGAAAAGGGAGAUGUUUGCAGAUCUUCACCUGCUGCUGAACACUCAGUGUUAAUUUUUUCUUGCCCCACGCAUCCAGUGAACAUUGGCUGCGUCCCCACUUGACCCCAGGGCUCCGGGACUGUUGGCCGUUAUGGAUUUCUUCAAGUAUGUAGGUAGGCCCAGUUCUCUAGUCUUCAGGUUUUUAGUGUUUGUGUUUGGACAGCACGUGAGAGGAAGCUGAUGGGAUAUUUACCCAAAGACAAGACACUUUUCAAACUAAGAUGCUGCUAGAAGCUCUACCAAGCCUGGACCUCCAUGGACACUGGCGACAGGACCAGAGCAUUUCAGUUGUCCAAUGGCCACUCCCUGCUAUGUCCCGUUCAGGGAGAGGAUAGUCAAAUGAGGGACUAUGGGAUGGGGCCUGGCUGUCCCGGGGACCAUGCCUGGGGGUGUUUGUGCCCCAGUCGGGCUCUCAGCUGGCUGUUGGUGCCAGCAGGUUGGAGUUUGCAAGACUGAGAAGUGAUCCAAGUUUCUGUUUGAGGCCUCCCUCUGUGGGCUUUCUCAGAGCUCACUGGGGUCCCCAUAACUGGCUGCCUGGCCAUACUCCCGUUCUUUGUGGCCUGGCGCUCUUGGGCUGUGCAAAUACCACAUAGGAUGGUUGAAAGAAAGAGCUCUGGACUAUGACAAACCCAGGUUUGAUUCCUAGCCACUUCAUUGCUGUGUGACCUUGGACACGUUACUUAACCUUUCUGCAUCUUAGCUUUCUCAUCUGUAAAAUAAAGCUAAUAUUGCUGAUCUGAUAAGGAUUAUGUGAGAUCAUGUAUAUAAAGUACUCAGUGCCUGGCACAUAAUAAGUGCUCAGUAAAUGGCAGAUUAUUAUUUUUAUUAGCUGUGUAUUUUGAAUAUACAGCUUAAAGAACAUUAGGCUUAAUAUUGUAUAAAGCGUACAGACACUUGCUACAGCAAGGAUGAAACUUGAGAACAUUAUGUUAAGUGAAAGACAUCAGACACCAAAGGCCACACAUUGUAUGAUUCCUUGAAUAUAAAAUGUCCAGAAUAAGUGAAUCUAUAGAGACAAAAAGUAGAUUAGAGGUUUGCAGAGGCUAGGGGGAGAGGCAAGUGGGAAGUGACUGCUUAAUGGGUAGGGGUUUCCUUUUUGGGUGGAUGAAAAUGUUCUGCAACUAGACAGUGGUGAUGGUUGCACUAUAUUGUGAAUGUACUAAAUGCCACUCAAUUCUUUGAAAUGGUUAAAAUGGUAAAUGGUAUGCAUAUUUUCCCACAAUUAAAAAAAUCGUGUA